AUGAAAUAAUUCCCAUUUUAGUGUAAAUUACACUCAUUUCAUUCUAAGAAAUGGUGAUAGUAUCGGAAAACGGGCUGGAUAACGAUCCUUGAGAGUAGGGGCUUUUAAACCUGGUUUGUGUCAAAAUGACAGAAGGGAGAUUAAAACAAAAAUGCCAUUCCCCUCCAUCUACCAAAUCCCAAAUCUCUGUGGGCUCCAAAUCCCGUAACCCUGCCGGGGUGUCCUGUGGAGAACUGGAGGGGUGUGCAGAAAGACAGCAGCAUCGCGAAGGAGCCACUGAGGGAAAAUGCUCCGGGGGCGGAUUCUCUGAGGCUGCCUUGCGGGCCCUGUGGUCCAGCCCCUGCCCUCUGCUCCUUUCUGCCCCACAGCUCCUUGCCCACCCUGUGCUGCCUCUAUCUUGCCCCUGCCCCUUGGUCCAUUCUGUGUCCCAGGCCAGACACCCUUGUCCCGGCUCUGGCACCAUUUGUUCCUUGUGGGGAGCACCCUCUAGACAAGACUGUGUGGAUGGGCACCUCCUGCCCAACUCUGCCAUGUUGUCUGGCUGAAAGGCCUCCUCUCCGACAGGUGGAGAGGGGCGGGAGGAAGGGCUGAAGGGGAUCAAGCCUCCUGCCCUGUCCCAGUUACAAAGCUGCUCAGGUGACCACGCCCACCUUGGGGAGAGCACCUUCAGAGCUUGUGCAUUUAAUAGGUCACGGCCUCCUCCAGGAAGCGGCUACGCAGUUCUUCCCACGGGGCAGCUGGAAUGCCUCCAGUUUGAAGCGUGCCCAUCAAUCACAGUCAGCCCCAUAUUGGCCCUUUGCUGCCCUCUGCCCCCACCACAUGAGGACCUUCCACUGGGUCAGAACCUGUGCUAAGUGCUGGUGGAGUGUUGGGACAGUUUACAAUGGACUCAGGCACAGGGAGGGAGCAGGUGGGGAUCAAGUGAUGUGUUGAAUCCGUGGAUGAAGAGCAGGAUGGAGAUGUCCGCCUCCCUGAGCCAGGAUGGCAGCCCAGGGCCGACCCCAGCAAGGGUAGAAGGAUUUUUCCAGACGCCCUGUGUGAGGGUCCCCACAGGGUAGCGCCAGAAGAAGAGCUCUGGGAAGGCUUUGCCCUGGACUCGUGUCUAAAGGGCCCCCCCACUAACUGUAGGAGAGGGUCCAGGAGGCAGGGGACCUUCGCUCUGGUCUCAGCCUAGCCCUGGAAUUGACCUGCUGUGACUUGGGCAAGUCAAUUAAUUGGCUCAAUCUUACAGCCACUCAGCACCCACUAUGGGUGGACCCUGGCCAGAUUCUCAGGCUAUGCAGGUGGAUAUGUGAUGCCUGGUCAUGCGGCUGUGUAAAAAGCUGCGUAGGGGUCCAGGGAGGCAGAGGGUCCUGUUGUAGGUGGGUGGGUGAAGGCAGCAGAGUGAGGAAUAGAGAAGGCUUUGUGAGGAGUAACAUUUGACUUGGGCUUUGGAGGUUGAGUGGGAGCACUCUGUGGGAGAAGGGCGUGACAAACAGAGGGAGGAUCACAAAGGCGUGAGCCCAAAAGGACCAGUCACAUUCAGGGGACCUACAGAGAGUACCGUGUGCCUGGGCUUUGGGUUCAGUCCCCUCUUCAGCCCGGCCCCAGCUCUGAUUCCAUCCUGUGGUGGGCUUGCUUAGUUGGUGUAGGAGUUGACCUCAAGAUGGCCCCCAGUGACUCUUGCCUCCAGGUAUCCACGCCUUUGUGUAGUCUGCUCUGACAUGGAACAGGGCUGACCUCAAGGGGAGAGCAUUACAGGAGGGCAUGAAAAACCACCCAGGAGGAAUGCUGCUGAGGUGACGGUGCGUGACUUCCAAGCCUGGGUCAUCAAAGCAUUGCAGCUUCUGCCUUGGUCUCAUGGAUUGCACACCCUGGGCAGGCCAGCCGCCCUGCUGUGAGGACACUCAGGCAGCCCUGUGGAGAGGCCGGUGUCGUGAGGAACGGAGGGCUCCCACCAGCAGCCAGCGCCAACUUGCCAGCCAUGGGAGUGGGCCGCUUGGCAGAGAAUCCUCCAGCCCCAGUCAAGCCUUCCGAGGACUGUAGCCCUAGCUGACCUCUGACAGCAGUCCCACGAGAGACCCCCAGAUAGAACUCCCAGCCAAGCUGCUCUGAAUUCCUGACCACGGAAACUGCGAGAUAAGUGAUGAUUGCUGUUUUAAGCCGUUAAGCCACUAAUUUGUUCUGAAACACUAGAUAACUGACAUGGUUGAUUGUUGUGAUAGGCAGCUCUAAGAUGGCUGCCAAGGAUCCCAGGCUCCUGGCGGGUUGUUCGUGCCCUCCUGUAAUGCCCUCCCCUGAGUGUGGAGUGGACAUGGUGAGCUGCUUCUAAUGGAAGGAUAGGCACACCUGAGAGGCAUCACUUUGAGAUGACAUUGCACAAAGACUCAGCUUCCUUGACGCUUGCUCUCUCGUGCUCUCACUGGCUCUGAGGGAAGCAGCUGCCAUGUUAUGAGCUGCCCGGUGGAAAGGCCCACACAACCGAGGACUGAGGGACGUCUCCAGCCAGUAGCCAGUGAGGAACCGAAGCCAAGAGUCCAACAACUUGUGAGGACCCGAAUCUUGCCGCAACCAUGUGGGUGAGCUUCGAGUUGAAUCUUGAAAUGACUGCGGCCCCAGCAGACCCCUUGAUCCUGGCCUUCUGAGACCCUGAGCGAGAGGACUCGGAGAAGCCGGUUCCUGGUGACAGAAACCGUGAGGAACUCCAAGGUUUUCAGAAAAGCAGAGAGCAGGCUUCAUUCCGUUCUAGUCCUAACCAUUUCAAAGUCCACAGCUGAAAAGGAUCUGAGACUUUCUCUUGACAAAUAAAAAUGGUGGCCUGGGGGAAGUGGCCUGUGGCAGGGGGAGCCCAACACGUGGAGCCCGGAGUGAGACGCUGCACCAGCCCACCACCGUUUCCUUCUCUAAGGUGAGCUGUGGCUCGCGUGCUUUGUUUUCCGAGUGAGAAGGGACCUUGGCAUUGGAAUUUGUGGGGCUGUUGUGCUGGGCAGCUAGGCUGGCCACGUCGCCUUGUCUGUGUGGUCUAAACAGCGCACAGUGAACUAACACUGCAAGGUCUGGCGACUGUGGAUUGGCGUGGAGAGCGGUUACUCCUCAGCGGGGUCCCAGCAUCUUACCCUGGUUGGGCUCCUCCUGUUGUAGUGUCUCCUGAAUGUUCCCAUUUGUUCUUCCCAGAAAAUAUCCCCUGAAUCUCAAAGACCCCGAGAUGCUGCAGCUGGGAGAAACCCCCCACAUCUGAACGAGUGGGAAGUCAAGCUUCCAGGUGGAGCGGCAGGGCUUCAUUGGCCACCACUGCCACCUGGCUGACCCCCUCCUUGUUCCCAGCUUG
rnacentral:lncRNA from 1 species